AUGAAAGGCUCAAGCAAUCCUCCUGCCUUAGCCUCACAAAGUGCUGGGAUUACAGGCGUGAGCCACCACUCCUGGCCGAAACAGUCUUAUCAAGGCUUCAGUGUAACUACUGAAGGGUUCCAAAUGGUAAAGAAAAACUUUGCAUGGGUUGUAGAGAGUAGAGUCGCUUUUGAAAUCAGAAAGUCAGUGCAGUGUUAUAGUACUGAUGGGUUCUACUUCUGAUCUUAGUCACUGUGAAAAAAAUCAAGGCCUGUGGAAAUUUUGACAUUCCACGUAGACUUCUGUAACAUCCGCACAUAAAGGACCAGAAGAAACGCUGAGGAUUAAAGCUGAGUAUGAAGGGGUGGCAGUCGUACUGUAUUUGUGGCAGUGGCAGGCAGAAGCAAUGGUUUGGGAUCGGUGAUGUUUGGGAACACUGCACAUCCAGUUAUCUGCUGUCCUCCCCUCACACCAGACUAAGGAGUUCGGGAUGUGUCGUCUUCUCUUCGACUACCCAGUGGUCUCGGCUAUUCAACCAUACUUUCUCCAGAAGGAUCAGCUCAGUUUGCUGCUCAGAUAUUUGGAUUAAACAACUAUUAUGGGGCAAACUGCAAGCAAGCACUUUGAACACACGGAUUUCUUGGAAGAAAGGUGACAAGAAAAUCAGAGAAAGAACAUCAUUGCAUUUUUAGGGGGAAAACUACAAAUUUCUAAUUAAGCUGCAGAAAAACUAAGCAAGAUGAAAAAAUAAUUAGAGAACACAAAUAAAAUGUACUAGUGAAUACAUGCUUCUCUAGACCCAAACAAAAACUAUUUGCAACGUAAUUAAAACAGGUAAGUGCUGUGAAAAAUAGAAACAUGGUGACAUAGGAAGAGCCUGAUGGGGGAACCUAACCGAGUCCUGAGAGUGUAAGCCAGCUUCCCCAAGGAAGUGACAUUUCCACCGAGAUCUGAAGGACAGCAGUCUAUAAAUGAAGUAGAGAAAGGCAGUGCUGAGGGCAGAGGGCACCUGCAUGGGCAGAGGCUGGGAGCAAGAUGAGUACAGCGUGCCCCAAGUAAUCAGGAGUGCUGGUGGCUGGAGUGCAGAGACAGCAGUGCAGUUUUAGCUAGAGAUGAGAGUAAGGGAGGCAAGGGCUGGAUCAUCCUGUCUCCUGUAGGCCACAGCAAGGUGUUUGGUCUUCAUGGCAGAGGAAAGGCAUUUAUUGAAGUGACAUUUUUAAAAAUAACUAAUGGCUGGGCGCGGUGGCUCACGCCUGUAAUCCCAGCACUUUGGGAGGCUGAGGCAGGUGGAUCACUUGACGUCAGGAGUUUUGAGACCAGCUUGGCG